UUUGNNAAGUCAGAUGUGAAAUCCCCGGGNUNAACCUGGGAANUGCAUCUGAUACUGGCAAGCUNGAGUNUCGNAGAGGGGGGUAGAAUUCCNGGUGUAGCGGUGAANUGCGUAGAGAUCNGGAGGAAUACCCGGUGGCGANGGCGGCCCCCUGGACGAAGACUGACGCUCAGGUGCGAAAGCGUGGGGAGCAAACAGGAUNAGAUACCCUGGUAGUNCACGCCGUNAACGAUGUCGACUNGGAGGUUGUGCCCNUGAGGCGUGGCUUCCGGAGCUAACGCGUUAAGUCGACCGCCUGGGGAGUACAGCCGCAAGGUUAAAACUCAAAUGAAUUGACGGGGGCCCGCACAAGCGGUGGAGCAUGUGGUUUAAUUCGAUGCAACGCGAAGAACCUUACCUGGUCUUGACAUCCACGGAAGUUUUCAGAGAUGAGAAUGUGCCUUCGGGAACCGUGAGACAGGUGCUGCAUGGCUGUCGUCAGCUCGUGUUGUGAAAUGUUGGGUUAAGUCCCGCAACGAGCGCAACCCUUAUCCUUUGUUGCCAGCGGUCCGGCCGGGAACUCAAAGGAGACUGCCAGUGAUAAACUGGAGGAAGGUGGGGAUGACGUCAAGUCAUCAUGGCCCUUACGACCAGGGCUACACACGUGCUACAAUGGCGCAUACAAAGAGAAGCGACCUCGCGAGAGCAAGCGGACCUCAUAAAGUGCGUCGUAGUCCGGAUUGGAGUCUGCAACUCGACUCCAUGAAGUCGGAAUCGCUAGUAAUCGUGGAUCAGAAUGCCACGGUGAAUACGUUCCCGGGCCUUGUACACACCGCCCGUCACACCAUGGGAGUGGGUUGCAAAAGAAGUAGGUAGCUUAACCUUCGGGAGGGCGCUUACCACUUUGUGAUUCAUGACUGGGGUGAAGUCGUAACAAGGUAGCAAUCACUAGUGAAUUCGCGGCCGCCUGCAGGUCGACCAUAUGGGAGAGNNCCC
rnacentral:rRNA from 1 species